GACAGCACACACUGUGGGAUGCCCUGCUGAAGUAGGGCAGACAAGCAGGAUCUUCUAGUCUCUUGUAGCCAAGGCCUCUCUCCUGAAGUUUAUGCCCAGGUCUGUGAUACACCUGCUGGAUGUUCAUACUUGAGCCUUUUUGUCAUUCUUAAAAGUAAUAAAUAAAUGCCAGAGCAUGCACACGCUUCUUUAACCAAGUAAAUAAAUCAGAAAGCUAUAUAGGUCUUACAAACAUUUUAACAUGCAGUACUAAGUUGAAAAGAGGUAAUGUGUUUAAUGUUACAACAGAAAUCCUAAGAUUCAUUUUUAAAGAUUGAGUGUCUGUUUAGAAACAUUUCCUGUUCUUUUGAAGUGUCCCUACUUACUUGUCUUUUGAUUUGUUUAAGCCACACAGGCUAUAGUAUUUUGUUAUGUCCCAGCUGAGGCAGGACAGUUGAAAAGGCUGCUCCAACUCGAAAGAAGAUUCUUAGCUUUAAAAAGUAUGUUUGCUGCCGGAUUGAUGGGCCAUAUUCACCUUGAAAGUCCAGCCUCUGCUCCUAAGCAAGUAGCCCGGAGUAAAUAGCUGCACCCCAUGAAUGGUGAUAAGAACGUUCUCUUGGAAGCGUGCGGAGGAUGCUUCUCAAUGCUGUGGUUUUCUGGUUAGUGACAGGCCCUGGGUCUCUGGGCCUCCCUCACCGUCCGCCCCUGCAUUCAGAGCACGCUUGAGAAAAUCAUGGAAAGCACUUUCUACAUCCAGCUUCUUCUGCCCUAUGCUGAGAUUCAGACAGUGGCUUUACUUCACUGCCUUUUCUAUGUUUCUGUGUUAUUUUAAUGUGAAUUAGGGAAAGGUUGCAUGGAGCCGGUGGGGUGGUGAUAGUUAGGGACUCAGGUAUCCAUUUUACUGGAUGUUUCAGACUGUUUACAGAUCUGCUGCUCAUGUCCUGCUGGGGAAAGCCAGGCAAUGCCAAGAGCUAAGCAUUUGGCGGAUACUAACCUCCUGGUUGAAAAGAACCCUUUGUCCUGCUAUUUGAUGCUGUGAAAGAGAAUCCUCAAACUGUCAGAAAGAAAAGAGAAAG
rnacentral:lncRNA from 1 species